rnacentral:rRNA from 1 species
AGAGUUUGAUCCUGGCUCAGGACGAACGCUGGCGGCGUGCUUAACACAUGCAAGUCGAACGAGAAUCUGUGGAUCGAGGAUUCGUCCAAGUGAAGCAGAGGACAGUGGCGGACGGGUGAGUAACGCGUGAGGAACCUGCCUUUCAGAGGGGGACAACAGUUGGAAACGACUGCUAAUACCGCAUGAUACAUUUGGGUGGCAUCAUCUGAAUGUCAAAGAUUUAUCGCUGAAAGAUGGCCUCGCGUCUGAUUAGCUAGUUGGUGAGGUAACGGCCCACCAAGGCGACGAUCAGUAGCCGGACUGAGAGGUUGACCGGCCACAUUGGGACUGAGAUACGGCCCAGACUCCUACGGGAGGCAGCAGUGGGGAAUAUUGGGCAAUGGGCGCAAGCCUGACCCAGCAACGCCGCGUGAAGGAAGAAGGCUUUCGGGUUGUAAACUUCUUUUAAGAGGGAAGAGCAGAAGACUGUACCUCUAGAAUAAGCCACGGCUAACUACGUGCCAGCAGCCGCGGUAAUACGUAGGUGGCAAGCGUUGUCCGGAUUUACUGGGUGUAAAGGGCGUACAGCCGGGAAUGCAAGUCAGAUGUGAAAUCCAUGGGCUUAACCCAUGAACUGCAUUUGAAACUGUAUUUCUUGAGUACUGGAGAGGCAAUCGGAAUUCCUAGUGUAGCGGUGAAAUGCGUAGAUAUUAGGAGGAACACCAGUGGCGAAGGCGGAUUGCUGGACAGCAACUGACGGUGAGGCGCGAAAGUGUGGGGAGCAAACAGGAUUAGAUACCCUGGUAGUCCACACUGUAAACGAUGAAUACUAGGUGUGCGGGGACUGACCCCCUGCGUGCCGCAGUUAACACAAUAAGUAUUCCACCUGGGGAGUACGAUCGCAAGGUUGAAACUCAAAGGAAUUGACGGGGGCCCGCACAAGCGGUGGAUUAUGUGGUUUAAUUCGAAGCAACGCGAAGAACCUUACCAGGUCUUGACAUCGUAUGCAUAGUGUAGAGAUACACGAAGUCCUUCGGGACAUACAGACAGGUGGUGCAUGGUUGUCGUCAGCUCGUGUCGUGAGAUGUUGGGUUAAGUCCCGCAACGAGCGCAACCCUUGUAUUUAGUUGCUACGCAAGAGCACUCUAGAUAGACUGCCGUGGACAACACGGAGGAAGGUGGGGAUGACGUCAAAUCAUCAUGCCCCUUAUGACCUGGGCUACACACGUACUACAAUGGCAAUAGAACAGAGGGAAGCGACUCAGCGAUGAGAAGCAGAUCCCGAAAAAUUGUCUCAGUUCGGAUUGCAGGCUGCAACCCGCCUGCAUGAAGUCGGAAUUGCUAGUAAUCGCGGAUCAGCAUGCCGCGGUGAAUACGUUCCCGGGCCUUGUACACACCGCCCGUCACACCAUGGGAGUCGGUAACACCCGAAGCCCGUAGCCUAACAGCAAUGAGGGCGCGGUCGAAGGUGGGAUUGAUGACUGGGGUGAAGUCGUAACAAGGUA